rnacentral:tRNA from 1 species
UGGCCGGUGGCGGGGACGCGCCGCCGACCUUGCUGGCCGCCGCGCCGGUCGGGGCCGACGCCACCUCGACGUUCGACACGUUGCUGGCCCG